UACGUAGGUGGCAAGCGUUGUCCGGAUUUAUUGGGUUUAAAGGGUGCGUAGGUGGCCCUGUAAGUCAGUGGUGAAAUAUCUCAGCUUAACUGAGAGGGUGCCAUUGAUACUGCAGGGCUUGAGUACAGAUGAGGUAGGCGGAAUUGACGGUGUAGCGGUGAAAUGCAUAGAUAUCGUCAAGAACACCGAUAGCGAAGGCAGGUCUCUGGGCUGAAACUGACGCUCAUGCACGAAAGCGUGGGGAGCAAACAGG
rnacentral:rRNA from 1 species